GUCAAGAAGAAGAAGAAGAAGAAGAAGAAAAAUGGCAAAGCACUAGUUUGAUUUGGUAGAUAGUUUUUUUUUACACAAUACACUUUAUUAUUUUCUUUUCUUUGAUUGUUUC
rnacentral:ribozyme from 14 species